rnacentral:rRNA from 1 species
CCUACGGGCGGCAGCAGUGGGGAAUAUUGCACAAUGGGCGCAAGCCUGAUGCAGCCAUGCCGCGUGUGUGAAGAAGGCCUUCGGGUUGUAAAGCACUUUCAGCGGGGAGGAAGGCGUUAAGGUUAAUAACCUUGGCGAUUGACGUUACCCGCAGAAGAAGCACCGGCUAACUCCGUGCCAGCAGCCGCGGUAAUACGGAGGGUGCAAGCGUUAAUCGGAAUUACUGGGCGUAAAGCGCACGCAGGCGGUCUGUCAAGUCGGAUGUGAAAUCCCCGGGCUCAACCUGGGAACUGCAUUAGAAACUGGCAGGCUAGAGUCUUGUAGAGGGGGGUAGAAUUCCAGGUGUAGCGGUGAAAGGCGUAGAGAGCUGGAGGAAUACCGGUGGCGAAGGCGGACCCCUGGACAAAGACUGACGCUCAGGUGCGAAAGCGUGGGGAGCAAACAGGAUUAGAUACCCGUGUAGUC